AUUGAACGCUGGCGGCAUGCUUUACACAUGCAAGUCGAACGGUAACAGGGUGCUUGCACCGCUGACGAGUGGCGAACGGGUGAGUAAUGCGUCGGAACGUGCCGAGUAGUGGGGGAUAACGCAUCGAAAGGUGUGCUAAUACCGCAUACGUACUGGGGUAGAAAGUGGGGGACCUUCGGGCCUCACGCUAUUCGAGCGGCCGACGUCUGAUUAGCUAGUUGGUGAGGGAAAGGCCCACCAAGGCGACGAUCAGUAGCGGGUCUGAGAGGAUGAUCCGCCACACUGGGACUGAGACACGGCCCAGACUCCUACGGGAGGCAGCAGUGGGGAAUUUUGGACAAUGGGCGCAAGCCUGAUCCAGCCAUGCCGCGUGUCUGAAGAAGGCCUUAUGGUUGUAAAGCACUUUAAGCGAGGAGGAGGCUACUUUAGAUAAUACCUAGAGAUAGUGGACGUUACUCGCAGAAUAAGCACCGGCUAACUCUGUGCCAGCCGCCGCGGUAAUAC
rnacentral:rRNA from 1 species